rnacentral:piRNA from 1 species
UGAGCUCAAAUAGGGUCAGAAUCCGAC